UUGUAUCAUGUUUCCCAGGUCAGUUUUACUCCCUGCCGAAAAUAGGGGUGGUUAUGCCUUGAUGGGUUUGUUUCAUAAAACACAAUUGAAUGUUCAUGGAUGUGACCAGGUCAGGACGACUUCAUGUGUUUGCUGUUUCAUGCAGCUAGCAGUUAACGGCUAACAUAAGAUAGCCGCUAGCUAGCCCCGCACAAACCCAGCCUAUGUUUAUGUGUUAGGCUUAGAAUACUAAUAGUUAGAUUAUUAUCUGAAAAGUUUAAUGUUUAAACGUAGGUGCAGGCCAGUCUGUGUUACCAAAUUGUCCUUAUGUGUCAUGAACAAUUUGCGUUGUUACAGACACUAAAGUUCGUCCACAAACAUUUGAAUUAUUUGAAUGUCCGUGUAGCAAACCACACCAUCUUGCCUAGUCUCUCUGUAACGUUUAUCACGUGCAGACUAUCUUUGAAGGACAAGUUACACAAACGUUAGACUUAUCAUUAUUUUUGUAUGAUGUGAUCAGCAUUAUUGUAGGCUACUUGCUCUCAUUCGACUUCUAUAUUAAACGAGUAAAGCAAGUAAGUUUUUCAUGAUCAUGGUAGAGGCUGCCUACUCUAAAUGUUUGAGUGAUUUGUUAAUCACAAACAAGCCUCAAUGUAAUUAAAUGUUUUCUUCCCAACUUUUAAUUCAAAUUCUAAAAGAUUUCAGUAAUCUGAUAUUAUUAUAGUUUUGCAUGGUGUAAAUUUGUUGAGUUUGAUAUACUUUCUCCACAGACGUGGGAGUGCAGAGUGCAAGACAUCAGCGUCAUUGAGGUCUCUCUUACAGAAGCAUUACAGAUGUGCAGAAUUUCACACGCAUUGUGCAACUGAAGUCCAAGUUUAUGCCAGAACUUGACAUCUGCUCCAGGCUGUCUGCUGAGUGCCAUAGGAAGGGAGGAGAAACAAGACAUAAGAUUAAGGAGAUCAUGGCUGCCAUUGAUCGGAAUCCCAUCAUUGGCUCGUUGAGAGUUUGCCACCUGCAAGCACUUGUUGUGUACUUGAAGGCCCUGAGAAACUCAAAGGAAUACCUGAGCUGCCAGGACUGGUGUCAUCACUGAAAGCAGUCAUAAACAACAUGGCAGAUUCAUCUAUUUCCUCCAGCCAAAGCGACUCACCACGCACUAGCAGUGAGACUUGCAGUGAAGACAUGGUACUAUGACUGAAGUACCUUGAACCGAUCCCUCAUUAGCAUUGUGCAGGCCCUCCAUGAUUUUGUGAUCUUGCACGUUCACCAAUUCAUGCAAAUUCAGGGACUUUGCUGCAUUUGCGUGUUGUAAUAUUCAAUAAAUGUGAAUGGUGAUGUGUAGUUAUGUUCCUGUUAUUGUGUUAUUAGCAUUAUAUAUCCUUUGCUUGAAUUAUGUAUUUUUGUAAUUUUAUUGUAAUAAAGUUCCCUUUCUGAAA